UAAGGGUUAGGGUUAGGAAAGGUUAUUAGGGUAAGGGUUAGGGUUAGGAAAGGUUAGAGUUAGGGAUCCCGGUCCAAUGCACAGGCCAUCACAGCUCUCCACCAGGGCCUAAGGCCUACCUCUCAUUGAGGCCUUGGGGGUGAAGCGUGCCGAGUCUGGCGAUCCAAAUACGUUCGGCUCGCCGUCUUUGAGCCACACUCCAUUUUGGGUCCGCCUCCAGGACCGAGGCCCGGACAGCGUCCCAUCCGUGGAGGAGGAAGUGUCCCACCAAUAAGGUCUGGUGCUUGAAAAAUUGCCCGUGACCCCUGGGUGCAGAGGUCAACAAAGGCGAGAGUUUUGCCUUAACCAGAUCCUGUGAAAUCGGAGCAGCUGUGACUUCACCAGCCCAGCAAAGGCUAUCGAUGUCCAGUGUGAACAACAUGGCGUCCUGUGGAAUGUGAAGUGUCCUGAUUGUUUCCACAAAGUGUCAGAGACUAUAGGUCGGCCUGGAGGGAUUUCAUGCGGCCUGCUCCACUUUGUGGGAUCCUUGUGGAUCUUCGGCAGCAUGUAAAACAGUCUCGCCCUGGGUUCAGAGGUGCCGAGAAGCUCCUCCAGAGCCACAGCCUCCUCAGGGCUGAGGUUCGGCCUGUUGUGGCUGAUCUGAAAGUGCUGAUCAAAGUGAUCAAGGUCAGCCGUGAUGAGGGCAGCGAGCUCGGGUGGCAAAGUGCCCUCAGGCUUAUGGGGAUUUCUAGUUUAAGUGCUGGCCCCAGUGCUGCAGCAUGAGACCAGCAGUCUCCCGGGUCCAGUGGAUCUUGUCCUCCACAGUUGCAAAGGAGACCGAAAGACAGGACCACCUUCUCCACCGUGGUGGAGACGACGGACCUGGAGAGGAUGGCCUCAGCGUGCCUGAAAGUGGCUCCUGGGUGGAUUCGAAUUUGUGCUUUGUGGUCCUAAUUUCAGUUGGCGUUGGACCGCAGACCUCAGUCUGCAUGGAGUUGAGGCAGCAACAGGACCGGGAACAGGUGAAGGAGGUGCCUGUGCAGGGGGGAUCUGACCCAGGGUGCCCGCGUCGAGGCGACGACCCAGGUUCUUUCGUGCCCAGGAAGAAGCCACCUCGAGCGGAGCACGCCAGUGUUUUUCGCAUUCCCCUCUAUCAGGGCCUGCGUGUGAGGAGUGGGAGCCGCUGGCUUAAUGUUGUCUGCCAGGUUCUGUCCCAUUCUGGCGAUGGCAGGAGGAGGGUCAGACGCCGAGACGUUCUUGAGGUGGUGGACAGUUUUGAUGAUUGGAGCCCGUGGUUCCAAAAAUUGAGGCUUGUUGCCUUGUGCGUAAGGUCGGCGGCGAGAUCUAUCAUCCCCGUCGUCCCCACGCCUGACCCGGGUGACAGAGGCGUACGUGCGUCUCUGUCCAGGGCCAGAACGCGAGCGACCGUACGGAGGAGAGUGACGCCUGCGGCGGCUGAAGUCCCGGGGUCGCCCCUCGCCACGGCGGUCCAUACGCCCGUGGCGGUAGCGGACCUCGGUCCAGCCAGCGUCAUCAUUGUAUCCUCUCAUGUUCGUGUGAACAGUUGAGGAGGGAGAGGUCUGCUCUGCAUGCAGGAUGAGAGAGAUGUGGGGAGACGUGAAGCUGCUCCCUUUAUAGACUCUGCAGCCAGCCACACCCCCUCCCAGGGUGUGGUAAGUAUUAGGUGUGUUUGUUAAUUGAUUCUUUGUUUAAUAAAUUGUUGUUUGAUAAAUAAAUUGUUGUUUGGGUGUUUUAAUAAAUUGUUCUUUGUUAUAAAUCAUA